GACGAACGCUGGCGGCGUGCUUAACACAUGCAAGUCGAACGGAAAGGCCCUGCUUGCAGGGUACUCGAGUGGCGAACGGGUGAGUAACACGUGGGUGAUCUGCCCUGCACUUCGGGAUAAGCCUGGGAAACUGGGUCUAAUACCGGAUAGGAGCCAUUUUUAGUGUGAUGGUUGGAAAGUUUUUUCGGUGUAGGAUGAGCUCGCGGCCUAUCAGCUUGUUGGUGGGGUAAUGGCCUACCAAGGCGGCGACGGGUAGCCGGCCUGAGAGGGUGGACGGCCACAUUGGGACUGAGAUACGGCCCAGACUCCUACGGGAGGCAGCAGUGGGGAAUAUUGCACAAUGGGCGCAAGCCUGAUGCAGCGACGCCGCGUGGGGGAUGACGGCC
rnacentral:rRNA from 1 species